ensembl:lncRNA
AGCAUUUCCUUUUCCUCCUCUUCCUGUUCUCAUCAGCGUAUGUCAUGUCUAGGUUUAAUUUGGGGAAAGGAACAAAGCAAGGAAGGGAGGAAACAGAAAAAAACAUGAACAGAGUGACCGAGACUACAAAAGCACCCGCCUGCAGGCAGUGGUCUGCCAACUCAGAAAACACAUCUGGGGCUGGUCGUUCUUCAUCUGCAGUAAAUCUCUAAAAAUAAACUAAAAAGGUCUUCUUUCCUGAAGUUUCUAUAGACUUCGAUAUCAAGAUUCACUAGAUCCUGGAAGUGAAGUGUGAGAGCUGUGAAUAGCACAGCCCAAAACAGCAGGCAGGGCCGAAGAAAAGCAAGUCAGGUCUUGGAUUCCAAUGACCAUUUUCCCCUCAGGUUUUAACUGGCACAUCACUCCUCAGGGGUCGUUAUCUUCAUCUGUAAAAGCAGAAGUGGCAAAUGCAAUUCCACAGGCGUGGGGAUAUGGUGCGGUUCGUUGUAGCAUCAACAAGAAUCCCGUGAAGAAUGCAUGUAUCUGGACGGACAUCCAGUCAGUGAGAGACAGCUCUGGUUAUAAGAUGGAAUUCUACAGAGCACAUUGAUGGAAGACAUCUGCUAAAUGCUCUUCCAGACCUGAUGAGUAGAAAGAAAUACCUGUGUCAACAAUCACGUGGGCCAUCUGCUUAGCUGAGGCAGCCAGCAUCAACCUCCUCUAGAAGGACAGAACAUCACGUUACGCCUUUGUCAUCAGACACAGACAACUGUCAUAAGGAGACGGGUUCACACAGCCACGCUUUGGAAGCACCUCUGCUCUCCUCCAGCCCUCUCUGGCCUCUAUUUUUGCCAUGAAGUAUUCCUGAACUGGGACUGUGCUAUAACAGUUUUCAUUUUAAUUUUUAACAAAUAUUUCCUUUCUCCUUAGACUCUACAAACAAUGCCUUUUUUAAUCCCUUAAUGCUUCUCUCAGCUUCAAUUUUAGUCCUCUUCUUAAUUUUUUCUUUUUUUCUGAACAGCUGAAAGCCCCCUGCAGUGGAAGCAUGGAUUCUUAACCAUUGGACCAUCAGGAAAUCCCUGAAACUAUGUAUUAUAAUUAAUUAUAUUUAUUUGCUUAUUGGAGCUCUUAGCUCUUCCAUUCCUGACUGUUCCCAGCGCCCACUCACUCACAUAGCUUCCUCCAUCCCGGUCUUCCCAGGUCUCUCAGGCUCCACCUCUCUUGUCCAAAUACACCAGACCUGUCCUUUACCCCUUGGUCUGAUCACUUAACUAAGCUAGCCAGGUAAACCAAUCUUCAGUGAUGAAUUGUGUGGGUAAAAUAGACUUCCGUCUUACUCCUUCUUCUUGCCAUGUUUGUGUUUUAAGAGGCAUUUUCAUCAGUCCUGUCAACUGAAAAAAAAAAUGCACAAUUAUAAAAAUGAGUGUUAUGUUUUACUUGGCGGACAAAACUCAGGACUUAAACCCGAGAUGCAGCAUCUCAGAUAACUCUGAAGGACCACUCCAAAGAGGCGAGGGGCACAGCCAGGAUAUACAGUUUUUGUAACAAAGACCAGGAUGGACGGAAUAUCAAAAGUUUACUGUUAAUUAAAGAAAACCAGAUAUCUCCAG